rnacentral:rRNA from 1 species
GACAAACGCUGGCGGCGUGCUUAACACAUGCAAGUCGAACGGAAAGGCCCUGCUUUUGUGGGGUGCUCGAGUGGCGAACGGGUGAGUAACACGUGAGUAACCUGCCCUUGACUUUGGGAUAACUUCAGGAAACUGGGGCUAAUACCGGAUAGGAGCUCCUGCUGCAUGGUGGGGGUUGGAAAGUUUCGGCGGUUGGGGAUGGACUCGCGGCUUAUCAGCUUGUUGGUGGGGUAGUGGCUUACCAAGGAUUUGACGGGUAGCCGGCCUGAGAGGGUGACCGGCCACAUUGGGACUGAGAUACGGCCCAGACUCCUACGGGAGGCAGCAGUGGGGAAUAUUGCACAAUGGGCGGAAGCCUGAUGCAGCAACGCCGCGUGCGGGAUGACGGCCUUCGGGUUGUAAACCGCUUUCGCCUGUGACGAAGCGUGAGUGACGGUAAUGGGUAAAGAAGCACCGGCUAACUACGUG